rnacentral:rRNA from 1 species
UACGUAGGCAGCGAGCGUUGUUCGGAGUUACUGGGCGUAAAGGGCUCGUAGGCGGCCAACUAAGUCGGACGUGAAAUCCCCAGGCUCAACCUGGGAACUGCGUCCGAUACUGGAUGGCUUGAAUCCGGGAGAGGGAUGCAGAAUUCCAGGUGUAGCGGUGAAAUGCGUAGAUAUCUGGAGGAAUACCGGUGGCGAAGGCGGCAUCCUGGACCGGCAUUGACGCUGAGGAGCGAAAGCCAGGGGAGCAAACGGG